rnacentral:sRNA from 1 species
UUCGUAAGUUUUUAUGCCCACUGCUGCAGC